GAGCAGUGAUGACAAACCUAGUAACCUGAUCAAAACCGUGAAGGUUCCUACACUUGACCUGAGCUCA